CGGAUUAGCAACAGCUGCAAGUCAUUAGUGGCAGCCAUGGGAAAGCACAGCUCUGCACCCCGCUCGGCAAUAACCAACAUUUCGGCAGCUUGGGUUUCUAUUUUGAUCAGUCCCCGGAAAAGCUGAUUUUACUUCAAAGCAUCUCUGACUCUUGGAGGAGCAGGAAGCUGGUGGCCUAUUAAUAGAGAGCAGAAUCCAACAUCACUGAGGCAUGGCUGAUUCCCCAGCACCCCUGACAUAUUAGGCUCUAUCUGCCCUCCUUUCUCUCUGGCUCAGCACGGCUUUCACCAUCACAGGUGCAGUGCCCAAGCUGUGUGUGUGGUUUUGUGGUCCACAAGAAGGACCUGUCUGCCUUGCCCCAGCCAGACGGGAACCCCAUCCCUGCCUUGCACUGACUAUUGCCAUGAGGAGGUGGAAGCAUGUGACAGAGUUGACAGCAAGAUGUACAAAUGCUGAUAUCCAGUACUUCAAAAUAAUACCCCUUGAACUUCUGUUUUUUCUCCAGGAGGGGAAUAGGAGGAAAAGGAAUGGAAUCAAGGAAAGUAGUCACAGAGACUAGAGAAAUGGAAAGCUGAGUGGACAGAAAAGACCUUUCUGGAAAGGCCAUGGUCACCCUGACCCUUGUAGCCCCUGGAUUUCUUUCCAGCUUCAGUUACUUUCAGCUUCCCACCUGCAACUCCCAACACAGGCCUUAUUUCUUAUCUUCAGUCCCAAGCCUCGCUAAUUACCAAGGUUUUGUCAGACCCAGCUUUCUCCAAUUCCCUUCCUCAUAUGUUCUCUCUGCUGUUACUAGAAAAGCUGAAUUUGGUUUCCUCAUGGAUGACAUCAUUUACAUGGAGGCAAAAAUGGGAUUUAGCCUUGUCUUCCAAGGCCUCUUAAGAUGGCUCUACAAACAGUAAGAAACAUGCAAACAGAGCAUUUAAGGUAACACAGGGAAGUAUAAUUUUAAGGUAAAAUAAAAGUGAAUAAUCUCAAAAGACCAAGCAUUGCAAAUAUUUGCAUCUUCUAGUGCAAAGGUAAAACCAAGGGGAAAAGAGGGUGAAGGCACCUUAGUUCCAACAUUCCCUCAGUUCUGCAGCUGUUUCCAUUGGAACACUAUUUUAGGAUCACAAAAGUCUACAGAGAGCAAGACAAGUAUUUGUAAAUGAGCUUCAUUGCUACAAGGUGCAGAACGUGAGGUGGCUUUCUGUGUGGUGCCUGAAGGAAGCUCUGAGAAAAGUCCUAGGUGUUCUCCAUGUACUUCUGUCCCUUUGGUGCUGAGCCUAAAAAUAUGCAUGAAAAAAGAUGGAAGAACAAUGUGCUGGUGGUGUUUUGGUGGAUGUCUGUCUUCUAGAAGUCUGAGUCAAGAUGUUGGAUGGGCACCAAAAAGCAUUAUCUCCUUCAUGUGUCAGCAAUUAUUCUCAUGAAUGAGAACUAUUGGAAGAACCUGUCUACAUCAAAUUCAGGUCCAACUCUGUUCUUGUGUGAAACAUUAAUAUAAACCAGUAAUAUUAAUCUUUGCUGAUCUGUGCACUCAGUAUACUACU